rnacentral:lncRNA from 1 species
AUGGAUGUGCUACCCUGGCGCAGUGCCAAAGUCGCCAUUAGGUCACGACAAGACCAAGACGCCAUCAAACUUCUCGAGACUAAAACGGAGAGAGUAGAGAUCGGGGGAGUUCAACGGUAUGCAACACCACUCCUACGAUCUCCUGAUAUGCCUACCCUGUCUGCGCCCAAGGAGGCAGUGCUCCCUCUGCUCCGCAGCACAGAGCGAAGGUUGUUAAAGUCACCAGAGAAGGUCCUUUGCUACACAACUGAGAUUCAGAGACUGCAGCGGGAAGGUUUCGUUGUCAAGCUUGAGCCUGGAGCUGACAACACUCCUGCUAGCUGGUAUAUUCCACAUCACAUGGUGCAGCAUAAUGGCAAGAAUCGAGUUGUGUUCAAUUGCUCAUUCCAGUUCCAGGGGCAGAGCCUCAAUGACCACCUUCUCCCUGGACCUACUUUGGGGCCAACCCUCCUGGCAGUGCUUUUGAGGUUUCGACAACAUCCCAUCGCCUUCAGCAGCGACAUCCGUGGGAUGUUCCAUCAAGUCCGACUAUUAAAAGAAGACCAGCCACUCCUCCGAUUCCUCUGGCGAGACUGCAAACGUGACGACCCCCCUUCUGUCUACGAGUGGAGAGUACUCCCGUUCGGCACCACAUGUAGCCCAUGCUGCGCCAUCUUUGCCCUACAAAAGCACGUGCUGGAUCACAGCAACCCCGAGGAAGACGUCCGUGAGACUGUGAUGCAGUCAUUCUAUGUCGACAACUGCCUCCGGAGCUCGGCGACAGAGGUAGAAGCUAAAGUGCUUGUGGACAAACUACAGAAGCUUCUGGCUGAUGGAGGUUUUGAGUUAAGACAAUGGGCCAGUAACCAGCCCUCAAUCAUCAGCCACCUCCCGCCAGAGCUUCGAUCAGACAGCGCUGAGCUCUGGAUCACACAUGGCAAACCUGAUCAGAAAGAAGCUGCACUGGGGCUCCAUUGGCACUGCUCAUCAGACAGGCUGUACUACAAGCUCCGCACUGUUGACCAUCCUCAAGUGACCCUGCGCACAGUCUACAAGGUGUUAGCGAGUCAGUACGACCCACUGGGCUACAUUGUGCCAUACACCACAAGAGCUAAGAUUAUCGUUCAGCAGAUGUGGGCUUCACGGACUGACUGGGAUGACCCCAACCUUCCUAAGGACCUUCUCCAGGCCUGGGAUGAGUGGGAGCAGGAACUGCCCCAGCUGCAAACCAUCUCUCUAGCUCGUUGCUACACCAGCUCCAGCAUUGAUUCGAGCACCUGCCAACGUGAUAUCCACAUAUUCUGUGAUGCCUCUGAACAGGCCUAUGGAUCAGUGGGUUACUUGAGGAGUGCGGAUGCAAGUGGCACUGUGGAAGUUGCCUUCCUGACAGCACGUUCCAGAGUAGCACCCCGGAAGCAACAGACCAUACCCCGCUUGGAAUUAUGUGCAGCAUUAACAGGGGCACAGCUGGCACAGGUGCUCACUACUGAACUAACGGUCUCGCUUCGCCAUGUCACCCUAUGGACCGACUCUACCACAGUACUAACAUGGCUACAGUCAGACACGUGUCGAUUCAAAGUUUUCGUCGGGACACGCGUAGCAGAGAUACAGGAGCUGACAGACCGGGCAGCCUGGAGAUAUGUUGACUCAGCCAACAACCCCGCUGAUGACAUUACACGGGGAAGGCAUCUGUCAGACUUAAGUGAGUUGAGCCGAUGGUGCCGAGGUCCUCCAUUCCUCCAUGAGCCUCCAGAUCGGUGGCCCGAGAAACCACGCCUCCUACCUGUGAAUGAUGAGGAACUACGGAGGCCAUUCACCUGUCUACACAUCAUCACACCAUGCAGCCCACCCUUACCCGAAGCCGAUCAAUUUCAGACAUUUAAGGACCUCCUUAAGGCUACAGCGCAAGUUCUCCGUGGGCCAGCAGAUGCCCCUCCGACCGCGGAGGACUAUCACAGAGCAGAAACCAUGCUGCUGCAACAAGUGCAGCGAGAGUGUUUCCCCUCUGAGUUGGUCCACUUACAAGAGGGCAAGCAACUCCCAAGAUCCAGCCGUCUGCUCACUCUGGCUCCUGAGUUGGAUUCAAAUAAAGGACUCAUUUGUGUAGGGGGACGUCUUCGCCACAGUCCUUACCAGGACCAAUUCACCAUCCACCCUAUCGUGCUUGAUCCUAAACAUAGGAUCACUCAGUUAAUUAUCAAAGACACAGAUGAAGCCUUAUGCCAUCCUGGAACAGAGAGAGUUUUUGCAGAAGCUAGGAGGCGCUACUGGAUACUACGAGGGAGAGAAGCAGUAAAGCGGCACCAGCGAGGCUGUCUGGAUUGCAGGAAAUGGAGAGGUAAGCCAGAGGCACCUAAGAUGGCGGACUUGCCUCCUUCGAGGCUCCGACUUCAUCAGCCCCCCUUUUAUUCAACAGGUGUGGACUGUUUUGGUCCAUAUACUAUUCAAGUGGGCCGAAGACAUGAGAAACGAUGGGGCAUCAUUUUCAAAUGCCUCACCACUAGAGCUGUCCACCUUGACCUCCUGCCCACCAUUGGUACAGAUUCAUUCCUAAUGGCAUUCCGGCGAUUCGUAGCACGCAAGGGGAAGCCGUUUGAACUGCUUUCUGACCAAGGAACGAACUUCAGAGGUGGGGAGAGGGAGCUGAAGCAGGUCUUCGACGCUUUACAGCCUGAACUGCAGACACACCUAGCCGCUCAGCAGGUGAGAUUCCAUUUCAACCCACCAAAUUCCCCCCACUUUGGCGGUUGCUGGGAGAGAGAGAUCCGCUCCUUGAAGCAGGCUCUACAGACAACCUUAGGGGCACAGACUGUAACUGAGGAGGUGCUGCAGACCCUCCUCGCUGAAGUUGAGGGUAUUCUGAAUUCAAAGCCCCUGGGCUAUGUUUCCUCAGAUGUAGCUGAUGUAGAUCCUGUUACUCCAAAUACCCUGUUGAUGGGGCGGCCAGAUGCAUCUCUCCCCCAGGGUGUCUACCCUGAAUCGGAGAUAUUGAGUAAACGGAGAUGGCGCCACAGCCAAGUCUUAGCCGAACACUUCUGGAAGCAUUUCAUUAAAUAUUAUCUUCCAAGCCUGCAGACCAGACAGAAGUGGCAGUUCGAGAGUCCAGACAUUCUUGUGGGUGAAGCCGUUAUGAUUGCAGAUCCCCAGCUUCCUCGCUCACUGUGGCCUACAGGACGGAUCACAGAGACCUACCCAGGACCAGAUGGUCGGGUCAGAACUGUGAAGGUGGAAGUGAGAGGGCGUGCAUACACCCGCCCUCUCCCACGGCUUGUUCGUCUUCCUGCGAUACCAGACUAA